CGGUCCCAAGGGUAUGGCUGUUCGCCAUUUAAAGUGGUACGUGAGCUGGGUUUAAAACGUCGUGAGACAGUUUGGUCCCUAUCUGCCGUGGGCGCUGGAUAUUUGAGGGGGCCUGCUCCUAGUACGAGAGGACCGGAGUGGACGCACCUCUGGUGUACCGGUUGUGACGCCAGUCGCAUCGCCGGGUAGCUAAGUGCGGAAGAGAUAAACGCUGAAAGCAUCUAAGCGUGAAACUCGCCUCGAGAUGAGAUAUCCCGGGAGUUCAACUCCCCUAAAGGGUCGUCCUAGACCAGGACGUUGAUAGGUUGGGUGUGGAAGCGCAGUAAUGCGUUAAGCUAACCAAUACUAAUUGCCCGUGUGGCUUGACCCU
rnacentral:rRNA from 1 species